AUUGAACGCUGGCGGCAUGCCUUACACAUGCAAGUCGAACGGUAACAGGUCUUCGGAUGCUGACGAGUGGCGAACGGGUGAGUAAUACAUCGGAACGUGCCUAGUAGUGGGGGAUAACUACUCGAAAGAGUGGCUAAUACCGCAUGAGAUCUACGGAUGAAAGCAGGGGAGCGCAAGACCUUGUGGUUCUAGAGGCGCCGAUGGCAGAUUAGGUAGUUGGUGGGAUAAAAGCUUACCAAGCCGACGAUCUGUAGCUGGUCUGAGAGGACGAUCAGCCACACUGGGACUGAGAAACGGCCCAGACUCCUACGGGAGGCAGCAGUGGGGAAUUUUGGACAAUGGGCGCAAGCCUGAUCCAGCAAUGCCGCGUGCAGGAUGAAGGCCUUCGGGUUGUAAACUGCUUUUGUACGGAACGAAAAGCCCCGGGUUAAUACCCUGGGGUCAUGACGGUACCGUAAGAAUAAGCACCGGCUAACUACGUGCCAGCCGCCGCCGUAA
rnacentral:rRNA from 1 species